rnacentral:tRNA from 1 species
AGCUCCGUGGCGCAACGGCUAGCGCGUUUCGGCUGUUAACCGAAAGGUUGGUGGUUCGGGGGCCCACCCGGGGCGA